CCCUAAUCACCGCCUCUCCCGUUUUUGUCGUAUCCGCUGCUGAAUAAGGAGAAAUCGAAUCGAGAAUUGACCGUAUCCUCCGUUGUUAUCCGUAAAUUUUAAAUCGACCCGUGUUAUUCGAAUUAGCUGAAUUGAUUCAGGUUGAUCUAUUGGUUGAGCUGAUCUUGAGAGGCGUCAUGAACGUCGUUAGUUAUUUUGUCGAGGUAUAUCUCGAUCCGGGUAAAUGUCACUUCGGAUUCAAUGACCUCAUGCUUUUGUGACGGACCCUACUUCGGAUGUUGUUAAUAGCAUAUGGGUUCUGAGGAACCUACUCCUCGAACUAUGUAAGGCGAAUUGGUGCAUAUUUAUUUGCAUUUCAUUCCAACCAUGAAUAUUACGACUCAGACUGUGAAUAUGUUUAUUUUUUGAAUUUA